rnacentral:lncRNA from 1 species
AUCUUGACUGGCAUACCUCGUCAGAGAGGUGCAGCAACAAAUUUACUAAUAUUGUAGGAGGACGGCAUCUUUAGUUCCACAUCAGUUGAGUCAAGAAAGAGUAUGGUUUAUAUGAAUUAAAAUCUUCUCUCCUACAUGAGAUAUCUUUUAAACGAUAAAAUCGUGAGGCUCCAAAUAGCCAAGGUCCACUGAAGCCCAA